AGCGAACGUUAGCGGCGCGCCUAACACAUGCAAGUCGCACGAGAAAGGGCUUCGGCCCCGGUAAAGUGGCGCACGGGUGAGUAACACGUGGGCAACCUGCCCAACCCUGGGGGAUAACCUGCCGAAAGGCGGGCUAAUACCGCGUACGAGGAUUCGACCUCGGUCGGAUUCUGAAAGCAGGCCUCUGUAUACAAGCUUGUGGGGUUGGAUGGGCCCGCGCUCCAUCAGCUAGUUGGUGAGGUAAUGGCCCACCAAGGCUACGACGGAUAGCUGGUCUAAGAGGAUGAUCAGCCACACGGGAACUGAGCAACGGUCCAGACGCCGACGGGAGGCAGCAGUGGGGAAUCUUGCGCAAUGGGCGAAAGCCUGACGCAGCAACGCCGCGUGUGUGAUGAAGGUCUUUGGAUUGUAAAGCACUUUCGACCGGGAAGAACACCCGAAGGAGCCAUACCCUUCGGUCUGACGGUACCGGGAGAAGAAGCACCGGCUAACUCUGUGCCAGCAGCCGCGGUAACAC
rnacentral:rRNA from 1 species